rnacentral:rRNA from 1 species
AACACGUGGAUAACCUACCUAUAANNCUGGGAUAACUUCGGGAAACCGGAGCUAAUACCGGAUAAUAUAUUGAACCGCAAGGUUCAAUAGUGAAAGACGGUUUUGCUGUCACUUAUAGAUGGAUCCGCGCCGCNNNNNNUAGUUGGUAAGGUAACGGCUUACCAAGGCAACGAUGCGUAGCCGACCUGAGAGGGUGAUCGGCCACACUGGAACUGNNNCACGGUCCAGACUCCUACGGGAGGCAGCAGUAGGGAAUCUUCCGCAAUGGGCGAAAGCCUGACGGAGCAACGCCGCGUGAGUGAUGAAGGUCUUCGGAUCGUAAAACUCUGUUAUUAGGGAAGAACAAAUGUGUAAGUAACUAUGCACGUCUUGACGGUACCUAAUCAGAAAGCCACGGCUAACUACGUGCCAGCA